rnacentral:tRNA from 1 species
UGCGGGAUGGAGCAGUGGUAGCUCGUCGGGCUCAUAACCCGAAGGUCAUAGGUUCGAGUCCUGUUCCCGCUA